UAUGUUUUUCUAUUUAUUCAUAGGGAACCAAAGCACAGUAUUUAGCAGCCAAAGCAUUGAAGAAGCAAUCAUGGAGAUUCCAUACAAAGUACAUGAUGUGGUUUCAACGGCACGAAGAACCUAAAACAAUAACAGACGAGUACGAACAGGGAACGUAUAUCUAUUUUGAUUAUGAAAAAUGGGGACAAAGAAAGAAAGAAGGUUUUACAUUUGAAUAUCGAUAUCUUGAAGACCGAGAUCUAUAGCUGUUACAAAUACAAUUUCCUGUUUUUACCCAUCAUCCUCUGGGAGAACUCUCAUCAUGCAGUUGAGAGUUGUUACUCUUAGGAGCAGCUUUCAACCAAUGAACAUUGUUUUAUUUUAUUUCUUUCCCAAAAUUCUUCCCUUUGUAAAACUUGUGAUUAUAAAGAGAUGUUGUCAUGGUGUAUUUUAUCACCAAACCUAUUUUACAGACUUUCUAGAUUCCAGAAAUGUAAAGAUGUGGAAAAAAACCUGAGGUCAGAAUAUGUUUUUAGUUGUUAUAGCCAUGCCUUAGGACAGUUGCCAAGAUUAUGAUAACAGAAUUAUGUAUGAAACACAAUUUUUUGAUUCUUAUUUUGUUUUUCAGUUUUUCCUCAUUUUUCAUAAAAACGUUGAAAAAAUGUAAACAAAAAUGGUCCAGACAACUGUGAGAGAUCUUUUACUGGUAUACAUACUGCACUGACUUUAAUGCCUGGCCUUAUUUUUGUACAGCACAGUUGUACUGGAUAUAGUGAGUAUGUGUGCAGAUUGUGGUGAUGCUCCUCUUCUCUAUGGUGAGAACUGUAAAUAAUGAAGGCCGUAGACCAGAGGCUGUGUCACUGCUUUCAGAGACAUUAAAACAUGCUGGAAUCUAGCAUUCUGAAAUAAUA